rnacentral:rRNA from 1 species
UACGUAGGUGGCGAGCGUUAUCCGGAAUUAUUGGGCGUAAAGGGUGCGCAGGCGGAGCGGUAAGUCAGUGGUGAAAGACCGGGGCUCAACCCCGGGGCGGCCACUGAUACUGUCGUUCUAGAGUACUGGAGAGGGGAGCGGAAUUCCAUGUGUAGCGGUAAAAUGCGUAGAUAUAUGGAGGAACACCGGCGGCGAAGGCGGCUCCCUGGACAGAUACUGACGCUCGUGCACGAAAGCGUGGGGAGCAAAUAGG